rnacentral:rRNA from 1 species
AAGGCCUUGCGCUUUUGGAGCGGCCGAUGCCUGAUUAGCUUGUUGGUAAGGUAAAAGCUUACCAAGGCUUCGAUCAGUAGCUGGUCUGAGAGGACGGCCAGCCACACUGGGACUGAGACACGGCCCAGACUCCUACGGGAGGCAGCAGUGGGGAAUUUUGGACAAUGGGGGCAACCCUGAUCCAGCCAUGCCGCGUGAGUGAAGAAGGCCUUCGGGUUGUAAAGCUCUUUCAGCCGGAACGAAACGGUUACGGUUAAUACCCGUGAUUACUGACGGUACCGGAAGAAGAGGCACCGGCUAACUACGUGCCAGCAGCCGCGGUAAUACGUAGGGUGCGAGCGUUAAUCGGAAUUACUGGGCGUAAAGCGUGCGCAGGUGGUUUUGUAAGUCAGAUGUGAAAGCCCCGGGCUCAACCUGGGAACU